UACGUAGGUGGCAAGCGUUGUCCGGAUUUACUGGGCGUAAAGAGCGCGCAGGCGGUCGUUCAAGUCGCGUGUGAAAGCCCCCGGCUCAACUGGGGAGGGUCACGCGAUACUGAUCGACUCGAAGGCAGGAGAGGGUAGUGGAAUUCCCGGUGUAGUGGUGAAAUGCGUAGAUAUCGGGAGGAACACCAGUGGCGAAGGCGACUACCUGGCCUGUUCUUGACGCUGAGGCGCGAAAGC
rnacentral:rRNA from 1 species